UAGAAAUCGUGGAUGUUUACGAAUUCCAUACCACAUUUGACGUACUAAAACAUGGUUAUAAAGUUGGUUUAUAAGAGUCCUCUAUGAUGUACUCUUGGUGGAGCAGCCCAGACUCUAUUAGCUGAUGGGGUAACCAAAGCAAUC